CAUCGGUCCCCUCGCGACGAUAUGUUGUAAACCCCGCCAGGCCCGGAAGGGAGCAACGGUAGCAGCUGAUUCGGGCGCCGAGGUCAGGCUGUGUGGG
rnacentral:SRP_RNA from 1 species